rnacentral:tRNA from 1 species
GGGUAGUUGGCUGAGUGGAUUAAGCAGCGGACUGUUAAUCCGUGUCAUUUGACGACGUAGGUUCGAAUCCUACACUGCCCGCCA